rnacentral:rRNA from 1 species
CCUACGGGAGGCAGCAGUAGGGAAUUUUGCGCAAUGGGCGAAAGCCUGACGCAGCAACGCCGCGUGAUCGAGACGCCCUUCGGGGUGUAAAGAUCUGUCAGUGGGGACGAAACUUGAUGGUACCCACAGCGGAAGCACCGGCUAACUCCGUGCCAGCAGCCGCGGUAAUACGGGGGGUGCCAGCGUUGUCCGGAAUCAUUGGGCGUAAAGGGUUCGUAGGCGGCACGUAAAGUCUGGUGUUAAAGGCAGAGGCUCAACUUCUGUACGGCACUGGAUACUUGCGAGCUAGAAUGCGGUAGAGGUAAAGGGAAUUCCUGGUGUAGCGGUGAAAUGCUUAGAUAUCAGGAGGAACAUCGGUGGCGUAAGCGCUUUACUGGGCCGUAAUUGACGCUGAGGAACGAAAGCCAGGGUAGCAAAUGGGAUUAGAUACCCGAGUAGUC